GCUGGGUGUGGUGGCACAUGCCUGUGGUCCCAGCUACUUGGGAGGCUGAGGUGGGAGGAUCACUUGAGCCCAGGAGGUCAAGGCUGCAGUGAGCAGUGAUUGCGUCACUGCACUCUACCCUGGGCAACAAUGUGAGAUCCUGUCUCAA
rnacentral:SRP_RNA from 1 species